AACGCUGGCGGCAUGCUUUACACAUGCAAGUCGAACGGCAGCACGGGUGCUUGCACCUGGUGGCGAGUGGCGGACGGGUGAGUAAUACAUCGGAACGUAUCCAGAAGAGGGGGAUAACGCAUCGAAAGAUGUGCUAAUACCGCA
rnacentral:rRNA from 1 species